rnacentral:rRNA from 1 species
GUGCCAGCAGCCGCGGUAAUACGUAGGUGGCAAGCGUUGUCCGGAUUUAUUGGGCGUAAAGCGAGCGCAGGCGGGUUUUUUAAGUCUUGAUGUGAAAGCCCCGGCUCAACCGGGGAGGGUCAUUGGAAACUGGGAGACUUGAGUGCAGAAGAGGAGAGUGGAAUUCCAUGUGUAGCGGUGAAAUGCGUAGAUAUAUGGAGGAACACCAGUGGCGAAGGCGGCUCUCUGGUCUGUAACUGACGCUGAGGCUCGAAAGCGUGGGGAGCAAACAGGAUUAGAUACCCUGGUAGUCC